rnacentral:rRNA from 1 species
CCUACGGGAGGCAGCAGUAGGGAAUCUUCCACAAUGGGCGAAAGCCUGAUGGAGCAACGCCGCGUGGGUGAAGAAGGUCUUCGGAUCGUAAAACCCUGUUGUUAGAGAAGAAAGUGCGUGAGAGUAACUGUUCACGUUUCGACGGUAUCUAACCAGAAAGCCACGGCUAAAUACGUGCCAGCAGCCGCGGUUAUACGUAGGUGGCAAGCGUUAUCCGGAUUUAUUGGGCGUAAAGGGAACGCAGGCGGUCUAUUAAGUCUGAUGUGAAAGGCCUCGGCUUAACCGGAGUAGUGCAUUGGAAACUGGGAGACUUGAGUGCAGAAGAGGAGAGUGGAACUCCAUGUGUAGCGGUGAAAUGCGUAGAUAUAUGGAAGAACACCAGUGGCGAAAGCGGCUCUCUGGUCUGUAACUGACGCUGAGGUUCGAAAGCGUGGGUAGCAAACAGGAUUAGAUACCCGAGUAGUC